UACGUAGGGUGCAAGCGUUGUCCGGAAUUAUUGGGCGUAAAGAGCUCGUAGGCGGUCUGUCGCGUCGGCUGUGAAACCUGGGCUCAACUCCGGCCUGCAGCCGAUACGGCAGACUAGAAUUCGGUAGGGAGACUGGAAUUCCUGUGUAGCGGUGAAAUGCGCAGAUAUCAGGAGGAACACCGGUGGCGAAGCGGUCUCUGGCCGAUAUGACGCUGAGGAGCGAAAGCGUGGGGAGCGAACAG
rnacentral:rRNA from 1 species